UACGUAGGGGGCAAGCGUUAUCCGGAUUUACUGGGUGUAAAGGGAGCGUAGGCGGCUUAGUAAGUCAGAAGUGAAAGCCCGCAGCUCAACUGCGGGACUGCUUUUGAAACUGUUGGUCUUGAGUAUCGGAGAGGCAGGCGGAAUUCCUAGUGUAGCGGUGAAAUGCGUAGAUAUUAGGAGGAACACCAGUGGCGAAGGCGGCCUGCUGGACGACAACUGACGGUGAGGCGCGAAAGCGUGGGGAGCAAACAGG
rnacentral:rRNA from 1 species